AUUGAACGCUGGCGGCAUGCUUUACACAUGCAAGUCGAACGGUAACAGGCCUUCGGGUGCUGACGAGUGGCGAACGGGUGAGUAAUGCAUCGGAACGUGCCCAAUCGUGGGGGAUAACGUAGCGAAAGUUACGCUAAUACCGCAUAAGCCCUGAGGGGGAAAGUGGGGGACCGCAAGGCCUCACGCGAAUGGAGCGGCCGAUGUCAGAUUAGCUAGUUGGUGGGGUAAAGGCCCACCAAGGCGACGAUCUGUAGCGGGUCUGAGAGGAUGAUCCGCCACACUGGGACUGAGACACGGCCCAGACUCCUACGGGAGGCAGCAGUGGGGAAUAUUGGACAAUGGGCGGCAAGCCUGAUCCAGCAACGCCGCGUGUGUGAA
rnacentral:rRNA from 1 species